ACGCCUACUCUGAAGCAUUAA
rnacentral:snRNA from 1 species